AAGUGAACUCCACCAGCGAGAAGCAUAGUCCAUCGGAGCUUCCGCAAAAUUGUCAACCACAGCACCGCUCGCAGCAGAUUGAAUUAAUCAGAUCGGUGUAACCGGGGUCGAGGUAAAAACAACGAGGUAAAAUGGUCUACAAGAACCUUGACAAUUCCAUCGUGAAGGGGCCUUACCAGGAAGUGAGGAAAGGCCAGGAGCAAGUGCGGGAGCAGCCUUCGCAGGAACCGCCGAAAAAGCCGGCAACGAACGAAAAGUACGGCGCUUGGGGUCCGAUUUAUAAGGAUAAACAAAAUUUCGUCAAUAUGCACUGCUGUUGAUUGAAACGAAUCGCAUGCAGCGAUAGAGCUCGUACUCACCCCCGUAACACUGAGUAAAUUAAUGUCAGUAUGAGUACGUAAAACGGUACAGUGACAGACGCGAUCGUGAGAGUGGAAUUUUACACUCGUAUACUAACCCAGCAUCAUAAUAUGAGUUACUUUUCAACAUACGUUUAAUAAUCCAGUUUACAAUGCAACGCUUGUAUCGUCGUAAACCUAUAAUUGAAGCGUGGAUGCAUCGAUUGACACAUCCGAGUUAUACGAUAUUGAUAAACAACUACAUGUGCAAUUCAGCCUACGUCUUACUUUUGUGCAGAUUUUAAACACCUAUAGACGUAUCUUUUUAUUAUAUUAAUUUAAGAGUUUCUUUAUACAUAUGGACUAACAAAAUACCGUAUAAAGGUAUAUAAUGUGAUAUUGUCUCUUGCGGAUAGUACGAAGAAAAAGAAAACGAAAGUAUACAAAUUAUUACGAUUGUCGGUAACAAUAUACCUGACAUUUUUUGAAAAAGUAAUGCGAUGAAAAUUUUGGUAUUUUCUUUGGCCGCUAUUAUUAGUUCUGAUUUAUGUUUUCUUGUUAAAAAUGUUCGUCACCUCUGUUUCGAAAAGCUAAAUUUACGUUUCAGACUUUCGUUGAAUGUUCAGAGUCCUCGAUUCUCACUUAUGAUGAUUUCGGAGAAAUCGGAAACCCUUGGGAAUCGAGAAUGCAAAUACCUGCAAGCUGUGGCGUUUAUUCCAGUUUUCAAAACUGGUUUCUCCUCUCCUGCUUGUGCGUAUUAAAUAAUUAUUCCAAGAGACAGUAACACGCGAGCGCGUGCACUGUGGCUGACAAUAAAACAAAUUUAAAACUUUAUAUACACUAUUA